rnacentral:lncRNA from 1 species
GGAGGCCUGGACCAAGGUGGAGUUAGUGGGAUGGAGGAAGUGGAAGAAGGCAUGGGAUUUUGGAGGCUAGAGCCUGCAUUGGUGGUGAACUGGAUGUCAUAGAGGAGGGAAGGAAAAGGAACCAGGAAGAGAAGAACUCUCUGAAUUGGGCACGCACAUCUCUGAUGGGCACCGAUGAGGAUUGUUACCAGGAACGAGGAGACUGGGAUCAGGAAAGUGGCUUUGGGAGGGAGGAACCAAGGCUUCUCUUUUGGAUGUGUCAAGAUAGAUCUGCCUUCGAGAAAUCCGAGUUGUGGUAUCAAAUAGCCAGUUGGAUAUGUGAGACUGGAGUUUGGGGGAAAGAGAGGCCGUGGCUCAAAAACGUAAGUUUUGGAAACGUCAACAUAAAGCCACAGGAUUGGGUGACGUGGCCUAGCAGGGGGGUGGGGACAGAGAAGCGACCCUGGCCAGAGCCUUGGGGACAUCUACAUCUGGGGGAGAAGGGGAUGUAGCAAAACGAGCUUAGGAGUGAUCUCGAGGUAGGCUGAAACCAGGAGGGUUACAGAGGGCAAAUGCACCUUUGUGUUUCAAGAAGGAGAGGAGACAGCCAGCUGUGCCAAGGGCUGCUGAGACUUGGACAAGGAUGCAGAGAGCAGAGUGACCAUUAGGUCUGAUGACAUGGACAGGGUUGGUGAUCUUGAUAAGAUAAGAUGUCAGUUCAGUGCAGUGGUGGGGACAGAAGCCCUGCUGGAGUGGAGGGGAGAGAGAAUUUGGGGGGAAGACAGAAGGAAAGGGAAUUCAGGCAAGUGUGUGUGUGUGUGUGUGUGUGUGUGUGUGUGUAACUGACACAAAGGCCAGGUGCGAUGGCUCACGUGUGUAAUCCCAGCACUUUGGGAGGCCGAAGUGGGUGGAUCACUUGAGGUCAGGAGUUCGAGACCAGCCUGGCCAAUAUGGUGAAACCCCGUCUCUACUAAAAAUACAGAAAUUAGACAGGUGCGGUGGUGCACACCUGUAAUCCCAGCUACUUGAGAGGCUGAAGCAGGAGAAUCUCUUGGGCCCAGGAGGCAGAGGUUGCAGUGAGCCAAGAUCACACCACUGCACUCUAGCCUGGGUGACAGAGCAAGACUCUGUCUCAAAAAAGAAAAAAGGUAAAAAAAAAAAAAAAUGACCCUGAAAGGAAGUAGGGAGACAUGCAGAUAGGGAGAUGGGAGGCAGAAAAUUGCAUCCUGCAAUUAGCUGUCACAGCAGGCAGGAGCAAGAGAGAUGGGGAAGCCCAGGGCCAGGAGGGGAAGAUGAAUUCAGGGGGCAGGGAAGAGAGGAUGCUGUCAGCUAGGCUCUGGCAGAUCCCCUAGCCAGGGAUGCUCUGCCCAGCUCCUGUCUCUUGCUGCUGUCAGCGCCGGGCACACUCUGGGAUUCCCCCUGUAGACCCUGUCAAGACCUAUUGAGGUGAAGGGGAAGAACACGUUUUCAUCAUUCAUUUUCAGAAAUAAACAUUCACUCAGUUCUUGGAAAUACUUUCUGGCCAGGCUUGGGGGCUCAUGCCUGUAAUCCCAGCACUCUGGGAGGCCAAGACAGGAGGAUUGCUUGAGGCUUGGCGUUUGAGACCAGCCUGGGCAAUAUAGUAAGACCCCGUCUCUACAAAAAUGAAAAAUGAGCUGUGGCGUGGUGGCUCACGCCUGUAGUCCUAGAUACUCGGGAGGCUGAGGCGGGAGGAUUGCUUGAGUCCAGGAGUUUAAGGUUGCAGUGAGCUAUGAUUGCACCAUUGCACUUCAGGCUGGGCCACAGAGCAAGACCCUGUCUCAGAAAACAGAAAGAAAGAAAGUCAAAGAAAUAAAGUCAAAGACAAGAAGGUGAUACAGAGAAGACAGAAAAGGAGGAGGAGAGAGACUGACAGGUACACAAAUCAGAGAAGUCCCAGAGAUAACAAAAACACAACCACAGAGAUAGGGAGACGUAAGCCGGAGAAAGACCCAGAGAUUCGCAUAGAAAGCAACGUGGAGACUCAGAAGCAAGCACAGCAUCAAGGAAUGAUCAAUAAAAAGAAAAAAAAAUAUUUCCUGAGGACUUCCAAGUACAAGGCCCUGCAAUCUCAGGCCACUUCUGUCCCAUCUCUGCCUUCAGAGGGGGGGACAGGUAGUCCAGACAAUUAGAAUACAGAGGGGGCUGUGUUCUGACGGGGCCACGCGGGCAUUGAGGAAACGCAGCAGGCCCCUCCCCUAGCUGGGGCGGGGAUGUCUGUGUGCCAUCAUCUCACUCCAUCUGGUCAUUCCUUUGCCCAUUCAUCCAUCCAUUCAUUCAAGUCACCCCAUGCACAUUUUCCAAGACUGCCUGUGACCUGGCCCUGUGCCGGGUAGAGCUGAGGAUGCCAAGGUGAAUUCCUCCUGUGCCUGGCCCCGGCCCCAGUCUGCUGGAAGAACCAGACACAGACAAUCACACUGCGGGGAAACACGUGCUCCAUCGGAAAAGUCCAGAGCAGGGGGUGGGCAGAGAGGCCCAGCGUGCACCAGAGCCUCGCUCAGGUCAGCGCCAGGCCUGCCUGGAGCAGCCAACUGUGGGAGAAGAAGGAGUUGGUGAAAGGUGGGUCCCACCUGGGCCGUCCACAGAAGGGCUGAGGGGUAGGGGGUGAGGGGUUGAAGAUCAGGCCCUGCCGCCAUGCCACACGGCUGUCCUCUGUCCCUGCUCCUGGGGGAGCUGAAACUGCAUGGAAGGUCCCCCAGGGGUGCCCCGUCUAAUAAACUCGAUGAAGAGG